rnacentral:rRNA from 1 species
UACGUAGGGUGCGAGCGUUGUCCGGAAUUACUGGGCGUAAAGAGCUCGUAGGUGGUUUGUCGCGUUGUUCGUGAAAACUCACAGCUUAACUGUGGGCGUGCGGGCGAUACGGGCAGACUGGAGUACUGCAGGGGAGACUGGAAUUCCUGGUGUAGCGGUGAAAUGCGCAGAUAUCAGGAGGAACACCGGUGGCGAAGGCGGCUCUCUGGAACGGUACUGACGCUGAGACGCGAAAGCGUGGGGAGCGAACAGG